rnacentral:pre_miRNA from 1 species
AAAACAAUUUGAUCGUCGGUCUACCGAGCAAUAUCACCCGCUCGGUGAAAGAUUUUAUUCGGUGAU